AAAUCAAACUCCUGGAAUUGAGAAAGAAGAAAUCAAUAAAGUGUUUAAGCAAUUCAAUCAUUCGACGAAAACACAUUAUUACAAACAGAUUCAGCAACUCUUUAAGCAAUUACAUCACAAGGGUAAAACUACAAAACCAUUGUAAAUCAAACUCCUGGAAUUGAGAAAGAAGAAAUCAAUAAAGUGUUUAAGCAAUUCAAUCAUUCGACGAAAACACAUUAUUACAUACAGAUUCGGCAACUCUUUUAAGCAAUUACAUCACAAGGGAAAAACUACAAAACCAUUGUAAUCAGAUUCAUGGAAAUGAGAAAGAAGCACUAGUACAAGUAUGUCAACUAUCUCCAGCUUAGCAAACAAACAUAUUAUCAGCACCAUAAUAGUGUAAUCUAUUAUCUGAUUAAGAUAAAAAAGUUAACUAAUAAUCCAACAUAACCAAAGAACUAUCAAAACUGUAAAUUCCAUAGCUUGAUCAGCACAAAACCAAAAAGACUAAAACUUAUUGAAGAUCAAGCUAAGGGUUUACGCUUUUCGUCCGUAUCGAAGAUAGCAAAUAGCGCCAACCACUGCAACUGCAACAACAGAUGAUGCAGCAACCACUGGCAAAUUUACAUCACCGCCAAGGAAACCAACUUGAUCAUCACCAACAGGAAUGCCAUUAAUAUUGCUAGCAACAAAUCUUUCAGCAAUAACCCUUUCCUUCUCCAUCAAUUUCUUCUCCAACUCUGCAGCUUUCUCAAUCAUCUCCUUAACCCUCUUCUCUAAUUCCUCCUUCACCAAAUGAAGCUCCUUCUUCUCCUCUUCCCAUUCCUCAUUGUUCACAACAGUACCCUUCAAUUCCUCAAUAUGCUUCUUUAAAACCCUAAUUUCUUCUUCCUUCCCUUCAACUUCUUCUUUCUGAUUGUUUCCACUAGCUUCUAACUUCUCCAAUUUUGACAACAACAGAUUCUUUUCACUCUCAACAGCCUCCAGCUUCACACUCUUCUCAUUUUCAGUACUCUUCAAUCCCUCCAAUGCCGAUUUCACCCCUGAUAACUCAGAAUUAGAACCUUGUAGAUCAUUCAUAGCAGUGAUGAGAUCAUGUUGCAGUUGAGAUACCUCCCCUUCCAGCUGAGAAGCUCUAGCGGCUACUGAUCCUAAAGCCUUGUUCUCCGACUCGAAAUUCUCCACCUUCUUCAACAACUCAUCCUUUUCGCUCUGAGAUUCCUCGAUUGAACUCUUGAGCUUCUCGAUUCUCUGUUUGAUCACAUCGUUCUCGUGAAGAAGCUGAGUUUUCUCUUGCUCAAGCGCCGCUAUCUUCUGUUUCAGUGCAGAAGUUUUCGACGCAGCAUCGGUAGUUUCGUCAACGGCGAUCUCCACCGGCGCGUCGUCGAAAACCUCGCCAUUGGUAACGGUAUCAUCCGCCAUAAUCAAACCUGAAAAUAAUCAGACAAACAGUAAACGGAUUAAUCAAAAAAACUGAGCUUCAAUGAACUCCAAGCAGCCAAAAUUAGGGUUUUUGAUUGUAGAAAAUGAGAAUAAUUAGAAAAGAUAUCUUUUUGUGGAAUAUAAAAUCUUGUCGGAAAAGAAAAAGAAGAAUAAAAUGAAAUCUCACUUUUCGG
rnacentral:lncRNA from 1 species